AUUGAACGCUGGCGGCAUGCUUUACACAUGCAAGUCGAACGGUAACAGGCCUUCGGGUGCUGACGAGUGGCGAACGGGUGAGUAAUGCAUCGGAACGUACCCAGAGGUGGGGGAUAACGCAGCGAAAGCUGUGCUAAUACCGCAUGUGAUCUGAGGAUCAAAGCGGGGGACCGAGCAGCAAUGUUUGGCCUCGCGCCUUUGGAGCGGCCGAUGUCGGAUUAGCUAGUUGGUGGGGUAAAGGCCUACCAAGGCGACGAUCCGUAGCUGGUCUGAGAGGACGACCAGCCACACUGGGACUGAGACACGGCCCAGACUCCUACGGGAGGCAGCAGUGGGGAAUUUUGGACAAUGGGCGCAAGCCUGAUCCAGCAAUGCCGCGUGCGGGAAGAAGGCCUUCGGGUUGUAAACCGCUUUUGGCAGGAACGAAACGGUGUCCGCUAAUACCGGGCGCUAAUGACGGUACCUGCAGAAUAAGCACCGGCUAACUACGUG
rnacentral:rRNA from 1 species